rnacentral:rRNA from 1 species
UACGGGGGGAGCAAGCGUUGUUCGGAUUUACUGGGCGUAAAGGGCGCGUAGGCGGCCACCGCAAGUCGACUGUGAAAUCUCCGGGCUUAACUCGGAAAGGUCAGCCGAUACUGCGGGGCUAGAGUGCAGAAGGGGCAACUGGAAUUCUCGGUGUAGCGGUGAAAUGCGUAGAUAUCGAGAGGAACACCUGCGGCGAAGGCGGGUUGCUGGGCUGACACUGACGCUGAUGUGCGAAAGCGUGGGGAGCAAACAGG